CCUACGGGUGGCUGCAGUGGGGAAUAUUGGGCAAUGGGCGCAAGCCUGACCCAGCAACGCCGCGUGAAGGAAGAAGGCUCUCGGGUUGUAAACUUCUUUUUUCAGGGACGAAGCAAGUGACGGUACCUGAUGAAUAAGCCACGGCUAACUACGUGCCAGCAGCCGCGGUAAUACGUAGGUGGCAAGCGUUAUCCGGAUUUACUGGGUGUAAAGGGAGUGUAGGCGGGAAAGCAAGUCAGAGGUGAAAACCAUGGGCUCAACCUGUGGCCUGCAUUUGAAACUGUUUUUCUUGAGUACUGGAGAGGCGGACGGAAUUCCUAGUGUAGCGGUGAAAUGCGUAGAUAUUAGGAGGAACACCAGUUGCGAAGGCAGUCUGCUGGACAGCAACGGACGCUGAGGCGCGAAAGCGUGGGGAGCAAACAGGAUUAGAUACCCGUGUAGUC
rnacentral:rRNA from 1 species